rnacentral:lncRNA from 10 species
GCCCCUUGCGGGAAGGCCUCCCAGAGGCCGUGGGGUCGUUUCUGGCGGCCUAAGUGGGCCUAACUUUUAGAGUCCCGAGGGUCGUCGCUGCCGGGGAGAUCUCCGCCCCAUUUCCGUGCCGCCUUGUCCUCAGGGCCCAAAGCCCCCUGCGCUAAGGGCCCUGUCCCAUCUCUGCCCUACACGCGGGAGUCAGCCUAAGGCGGAGCCCUAGGACAGCAGCCGCGCCUGACGCUGCUCGCCUGCCUAGCACAGGCAGGGGGUGAGCGGAGUCGGCUGCCUCCCUCCCCAGGGCCCUCCAAGGGAGUGGGCUCCACAUCCAUGGGCCCGAGGAAUCUGCGGAGAGACGGGAAGAGCAGGGGACACUCACAGGGCGGGGGUCCAGGCGGGAGUCCAGUAGUCCUCGUGGAGACAGCUGGGAAAGGCCUCGGGGCAAGGGACCUCGGAUUUCCUCCUCUGCCUCAAAACAGACAGUCUAAGCUGGGUGCGGUAGCUUGCGCCUGUAAUCCCAGCACUUUGGGAGGACGAGUUGGGUGGACCACCAAGUCAAGAGAUGGAGAACCAUCCUGGCCAACAUGGUGAAACCCCAUCUCUACUAAAAAUUAGCCGGGCGUGGUGGCGCGCGCCUGUAGCCCCUGCUACUUGGGAGGCUGAGGCAGGAGAAUCGCUUGAACCUGGGAGGCAGAAGUUGCAGUGAGCCGAGAUUGCGCCUCUGCACUCCAGCCUGACAACAACAGAGCAAGACUCCGUCUCAAAAAAAAAAAAAAAAAAAAUGACCACGCACAGGCAGCAAGGGGCAGGGGGUGGUCCACGCUCAGCCUUCAGUACACAUUUGUGGAAUUAAUCCCUCCCAGGACAGGUUGUGAAGAAAGCUUGUUAACCUCAAGAUUCAGAAGCACCGUUCACAGCACAAGCUUUGGAGUCAAAUUCAGGCUGUUAACUUGCUGCGUGCGCCCCCGACUUACCUCUUUCUGCCUGUUUGCUCAUCCGUAAAAUGGGAACUGUGACUGAGUCUACUUUGAAUCUGAUUAUGCUGCAUGAACUCAGAAGACAGGGCUCAGUUGAGUGACUGCUCAGUUUACAAGAGCUGUUACUGUAGUUGGGAAGCGCCCUGAGACAUACAUGGUAAGAUUGGUAACCUAGGAUAAAGGGGGCCACCAUGAGAGAGACCCCAGAGGGAAACUGUUCCAGAGAAGAGAAAUGUCUUGCUAAGGUCACACUGCCCUGGUAGCGAGCACAGGGCAGCCUGCUCCGCCCAAGUUUCCAGCCUUCUCAGCUGAGUUCUGGCCCAUCAGGCUAAGCCGGAGACUAAGCCUCAAGAAAGCAGGCAUUCGUAGGAAAGGGGUCCUGUAAGUCCCAAAAGCCACCUUUGCUUUGGAAGGUCUCCAAAAGGAACCUCAGAUGCACUUCUCCAGAAGGCCCUAGCAUUUUUGCCUGCCCCCAUCCCCACCCCGCAACAACUUCUGCCCUCUUCAGGGAUCC